UACGUAGGGUGCAAGCGUUAAUCGGAAUUACUGGGCGUAAAGCGUGCGCAGGCGGUUAUGCAAGACAGAUGUGAAAUCCCCGGGCUCAACCUGGGAACUGCAUUUGUGACUGCAUGGCUAGAGUACGGUAGAGGGGGAUGGAAUUCCGCGUGUAGCAGUGAAAUGCGUAGAUAUGCGGAGGAACACCGAUGGCGAAGGCAAUCCCCUGGACCUGUACUGACGCUCAUGCACGAAAGGCGUGGGGAGCAAACAGG
rnacentral:rRNA from 1 species